AGAGUUUGAUCAUGGCUCAGGACGAACGCUGGCGGCGUGCUUAACACAUGCAAGUGGUGCGACGAACCAGGGCUUGCCCUGGGGCAAAGCCGCGAACGGGUGAGUAACACGUGAGUAACCUGCCCCGAUGACCGGGACAACCCGAGGAAACUCGGGCUAAUACCGGAUGUGGCGCACAGGCGUAAGCCUGUUCGCUAAAGGAAGCUUCGGCCUCCGCAUUGGGAGGGGCUCGCGGCCCAUUAGCUUGUUGGUGGGGUAACGGCCUACCAAGGCAACGAUGGGUAGCUGGUCUGAGAGGACGAUCAGCCACACUGGGACUGAGACACGGCCCAGACUCCUACGGGAGGCAGCAGUGGGGAAUCUUGCGCAAUGCGCGAAAGCGUGACGCAGCAACGCCGCGUGGGGGAAGACGGCCUUCGGGUUGUAAACCCCUUUCAGGAGGGACGAAGGCUCACCGGUGAAUAGCCGUGUGAGUUGACGGUACCUCCACAAGAAGCUCCGGCUAACUACGUGCCAGCAGCCGCGGUAAUACGUAGGGAGCAAGCGUUGUCCGGAAUCAUUGGGCGUAAAGCGCGCGUAGGUGGCCUCGUAAGUCCGCUGUGAAAGUCAAAGGCUCAACCUUUGAAAGCCGGUGGAUACUGUGAGGCUAGAGUACGGAAGAGGCGAGUGGAAUUCCUGGUGUAGCGGUGGAAUGCGCAGAUAUCAGGAGGAACACCAAUAGCGAAGGCAGCUCGCUGGGACGUUACUGACACUGAGGCGCGAAAGCGUGGGGAGCGAACAGGAUUAGAUACCCUAGUAGUCC
rnacentral:rRNA from 1 species